UACGGAGGGUGCAAGCGUUGUCCGGAAUCAUUGGGCGUAAAGCGUUCGUAGGCGGUAUAUCAAGUCUGGUGUCAAAGCCCGAGGCUCAACUUCGGUUCGGCACUGGAUACUGGUAAACUGGAAUGCGGUAGAGGUGAAGGGAAUUCCUGGUGUAGCGGUGAAAUGCGUAGAUAUCAGGAGGAACAUCGGUGGCGUAAGCGCUUCACUGGGCCGUUAUUGACGCUGAGGAACGAAAGCUAGGGGAGCGAAC
rnacentral:rRNA from 1 species